GACGAACGCUGGCGGCGUGCUUAACACAUGCAAGUCGAACGGAAAGGCCCUGCUUUUGUGGGGUGCUCGAGUGGCGAACGGGUGAGUAACACGUGAGUAACCUGCCCUUGACUUUGGGAUAACUUCAGGAAACUGGGGCUAAUACCGGAUAGGAGCCCCUGCUGCAUGGUGGGGGUUGGAAAGUUUCGGCGGUUGGGGAUGGACUCGCGGCUUAUCAGCUUGUUGGUGGGGUAGUGGCUUACCAAGGCUUUGACGGGUAGCCGGCCUGAGAGGGUGACCGGCCACAUUGGGACUGAGAUACGGCCCAGACUCCUACGGGAGGCAGCAGUGGGGAAUAUUGCACAAUGGGCGGAAGCCUGAUGCAGCAACGCCGCGUGCGGGAUGACGGCCUUCGGGUUGUAAACCGCUUUCGCCUGUGACGAAGCGUGAGUGACGGUAAUGGAUAAAGAAGCACCGGCUAACUACGUG
rnacentral:rRNA from 1 species